GGUUAAGUGACUAAGCGUACACGGUGGAUGCCUUGGCAGUCAGAGGCGAUGAAAGACGUAGUAACUUGCGAUAAGCCCAGAUUAGGUAGUAACAACCAUUUGAGUCUGGGAUUUCUGAAUGGGGAAACCCACUUACAUAAGUAAGUAUCAUUAACUGAAUACAUAGGUUAAUGAGGCGAACCGGGGGAACUGAAACAUCUAAGUACCCCGAGGAAAAGAAAUCAACCGAGAUUCCGAAAGUAGCGGCGAGCGAAAUUGGACUAGCCCUUAAGCUUUACACGCGUUAGACGAACGGUCUGGAAAGUCCGACGAUACAGGGUGAUAGUCCCGUAGUUGACGACGUGUGUUCAGUGAAAUCGAGUAGGGCGGGACACGUGAUAUCCUGUCUGAAUAUGGGGGGACCAUCCUCCAAGGCUAAAUACUACUGACUGACCGAUAGUGAACCAGUACCGUGAGGGAAAGGCGAAAAGAACCCCUGUGAGGGGAGUGAAAUAGAACCUGAAACCGUGUACGUACAAGCAGUAGGAGCAGGCUUUGUCCUGUGACUGCGUACCUUUUGUAUAAUGGGUCAGCGACUUAUAUUCAGUGGCAAGGUUAACCAUCUAGGGGAGCCGUAGGGAAACCGAGUCUUAACUGGGCGUUCAGUCUCUGGAUAUAGACCCGAAACCAGGUGAUCUAGCCAUGGGCAGGUUGAAGGUUGAGUAACAUCAACUGGAGGACCGAACCGACUAAUGUUGAAAAAUUAGCGGAUGACUUGUGGCUAGGGGUGAAAGGCCAAUCAAACCUGGAGAUAGCUGGUUCUCCCCGAAAGCUAUUUAGGUAGCGCCUCGGACGAAUACUACUGGGGGUAGAGCACUGUUAAGGCUAGGGGGUCAUCCCGACUUACCAACCCUUUGCAAACUCCGAAUACCAGUAAGUACUAUCCGGGAGACACACGGCGGGUGCUAACGUCCGUCGUGGAGAGGGAAACAACCCAGACCGCCAGCUAAGGUCCCAAAUUACUACUAAGUGGGAAACGAUGUGGGAAGGCUCAGACAGCCAGGAUGUUGGCUUAGAAGCAGCCAUCAUUUAAAGAAAGCGUAAUAGCUCACUGGUCGAGUCGGCCUGCGCGGAAGAUGUAACGGGGCUAAGUA
rnacentral:rRNA from 1 species